rnacentral:rRNA from 1 species
ACACGUAGGGGGCAAGCGUUGUCCGGAUUUAUUGGGCGUAAAGAGCUCGUAGGCUGCUUGGUAAGUUGGGUGUGAAAUUUCGAGGCUCAACCUCGAAACGCCACUCGAUACUGCCAUGGCUUGAGUCCGGUAGAGGAGUGCGGAAUUCCUGGUGUAGCGGUGAAAUGCGCAGAUAUCAGGAGGAACACCUGCGGCGAAGGCGGCACUCUGGGCCGGUACUGACGCUGAGGAGCGAAAGCGUGGGGAUCAAACAGGAUUAGAAACCCCAGUAGUCC